ACAAGCAGCGGAGCAUGUGGCUUAAUUCGACGCAACGCGAAGAACUUACCAAGGCUUGACAUGCAGGGAAAAGCGGCGGAAACGUCGUGGUCCGAAAGGGCUCUGCACAGGUGGUGCAUGGUUGUCGUCAGCUCGUGUCGUGAGAUGUUGGGUUAAGUCCCGCAACGAGCGCAACCCCUACGUUUAGUUGCUAACGCGUGAAGGCGAGCACUCUAGACGAACUGCCGUUGACAAAACGGAGGAAGUGGGAUGACGUCAAGUCAUCAUGCCCCUUAUGUUCUGGGCUACACACGUGCUACAAUGGCCGGUACAGACGGACGCAAAGCCGCGAGGUGGAGCAAAUCCUAAAAAGCCGGUCUCAGUUCGGAUUGCAGGCUGCAAUUCGCCUGCAUGAAGUCGGAAUCGCUAGUAAUCGCAGGUCAGCAUACUGCGGUGAAUACGUUCCCGGGCCUU
rnacentral:rRNA from 1 species